AACGUUAAAAGUGUGAUUUAUUUUUUAUGCAAAGAUUUGAUGUUCCGGGUGUAGUAACUCGCCAUACUCUUCAUAAGCAAUAAUAAGCUUCUAGCUUUACCGCCUUAUUGUAAGGCACCUUUAUUAUUUAACUUCAGGAUAUGACUAUGUCUACUACUACCGGUACUGUUAAGUGGUUCAAUGACGAGAAAGGUUUUGGUUUUAUCGCUCAGGAUAAUGGCGGACCAGACGUAUUUGCUCACUUCCGUCAAAUCGCAGGUGAUGGCUUUAAAUCACUGGCUGAAGGCCAGCGCGUUGAGUUCACCAUCACUCAGGGUCAGAAAGGCCCACAGGCUGAAGAUAUUCGACCACUGUAAUGGUCGGGCUACAAUAUUGUAGUCUCUAACCUCACCUCAGGUGAGGCAAAGAAGGGCAGUACUUUCAGGUGCUGCCUUUUUU
rnacentral:sRNA from 1 species